GCAGUGGGGAAUAUUGGACAAUGGGCGCAAGCCUGAUCCAGCAAUGCCGCGUGUGUGAAGAAGGUCUUCGGAUCGUAAAGCACUUUCGACGGGGACGAUGAUGACGGUACCCGUAGAAGAAGCCCCGGCUAACUUCGUGCCAGCAGCCGCGGUAAUACGAAGGGGGCUAGCGUUACUCGGAAUUACUGGGCGUAAAGGGCGCGUAGGCGGCGCUCCAAGUUAGGCGUGAAAGUCCUGGGCUCAACCUGGGAACUGCGCUUGAUACUGGAGUGCUUGAGGAUGGAAGAGGGUCGUGGAAUUCCCAGUGUAGAGGUGAAAUUCGUAGAUAUUGGGAAGAACACCGGUGGCGAAGGCGGCGACCUGGUCCAUUACUGACGCUGAGGCGCGACAGCGUGGGGAGCAAACAGGAUUAGA
rnacentral:rRNA from 1 species